rnacentral:lncRNA from 1 species
UAUACAUAUGUCCUAUUGGCUCUGUCCCUCUGGAAAACCCUGACUAAACAGUUACUGUGGCAGGCUGGGUCCCUCAGAGGCUGACACUGAGAUGGAGUUCGGGAUGCAAAGUGUUUAUAAGGAAGGGAUAAUACCUGUGAAAGAAGGAUGACACAGGAUUGGGCCGAGCGAUGCUGAGCGAUGCCGAACGAUGCUGAAGCAGGUCUGAUGAAGCCUUAGCCAGUCCAGCAGGGAGCUCUGGAAGUAUUUUCAGUCAGAGUUGUCUCAAGGAAGUCCUACCACCACUGCCACAUGGGCAAACCCAGAACAGCCUGCUGGAUGAUGAGAGACCAUGUGGAACAGAGAUGCUCCAUCUCAUCUGAGCCAUCCUAGACCAGCCCACCCUCAGCUGACCUGGCCACAGACAGCAAAUACAUGAGCGAGCCCAGCCAAGUUCAGCCAAGCUUGGCCCAGAUCAGCAGAAUUGCGCAGCUGAGCCCGGUCCAAAUUGCCAAACCACAAAAUUGUGAGAGGAGCAAGGUGGAUUGAAGAUUCUAGUUUUCCUGAGAAUUUGUUCCAAGAGGCUUCAUCCUUCAGAGUCCACGCCAUAAUUUUGUUCAGAGCUGGGUUUGGUCUUAAGAGUCAUUAAAAGACUCUCUGAGCUACCAGGGCGGCUGCACACUGGCCUGAGAUUAAACACUUCGCCGUGGCGCCAGAGACGGGACUCGAGACCGCAAGGCUAGUCACUCCAAGCCGAUGCUCCCGCUAGGCGCCGGCGACCUCUGGCGUCCCCUUUCGGAAGUGCGGCGGCGGCUGCCCAUGAACUGGCCCCACGACCCCAGACUGCCUGGGCAGGUGCGCCAGGACGGGGUGAGAAGCGCAGAGAGGCAAGCAGCCGGCGGCCGGCCCGCAGACCCGAGGGCAACACCCGGCCCCGCCUGGGUGGCUCGGUUGGCCCGCGGGGCGGUGCGGCG